AUGAACUUUAACAGAAAUAGAAAUGCUGAAAUCUACGUUCUACACAUAAAGUCUCAAGUCAGAACCUUCGCAACAUUUAUGCCGAUGUGCACUAAAUCGUAUCUACAUACUCAAAGAAAGUACAGAAACUUUUAUUGCACAGUCCCAAAUUCGAGAAAGGAGCAUACAUGCUCUAAUGCCACCUUCUCUUGUAAAAGUCAGGAGAAAAGUAGUGUGGUAGACAGAAGAGGCAAGAUUUGGCAUUGCCAGUUCUUUUUGACAACUCCUUCUGUACUAGCGAAUGAGCCGGAGGACAGCCAAACACCACAGCCUCUGAUGUCGGUAAGUCUGUCACUGAACGCGCGCAGCGAACAAGGGCAAACGCGCCGACUUACUCUGCACCUGCAGGUCCAUCUCGCGCAUCUCAGUGAAGCGAUCCCUCAGGUCCAUUGGAAGCUGCUCAAUCACUGUCAAAUAGUCCUCUAGGUACAACAUCGCGGCCCUUAGAGCUGGGGGAGCGAAGGGGUCCAGGGGUUUAUUUGUGUCACUCGCUGUCGCCGGAGUUUUGUCCCUUCCAAUAUGGCGCCUCCGCUAGCAGCACCCGCUCGGCUCCGGCGGAAAAAAAAAAAAAGAAAAAAAAAAAGCACUUUGGCGCCUGACGGCGCUUGCCUCACCGCCGCCCGGGGUGAUCAUUGGCUGGCUGAAUCAAUGACGUAAACCGACUGGACCCCGCCCCCGCCCCCUUGUGGGAAGUGUAGUUUUAGUCCCUCCCCAACAAGCUUGAACUUGCUGGCAAUUCUCCACCAGAAAACUACAAAAACCAGGCGCCGGUGCGAGCCGUGAGCAGUAGAAUCUGAAAUGCGGUGCCGCUAUUUAUUUGUUGAUUUUUUCACGGGGGAUGACGGGAGUUGUAUGCUUCUGCAGAACACAACUGGGAAGAACUUUUCACCUGUUCUUUCUUUCUGUGAUUCCAUGCCCCGACGUUUGUGAGUCAUGGAUUUCAAGUAGUGCUAGGCAGACGGCGAAGGUUCCAACGCUAGAAUAAUCAGCAAAGUUCGGGCAAUUGGGAUUGUUUAAAACAGAGCUCGUUGCUGGAAUGUAUCCUCAGUAAACAAUCCUAAAGAUACAAAUGGGACGUCUGGUUGGCUACCGUAUAACUAAAAUAGUUUACACUUAGAACAUGGAGUAAAUAUUUCCUGUGUUGAAAGAUGCAUCAAUAGUUCUCAAUAGCCUCUUAUACAUUGUAUUUUGAGGUCCUUCUAGUCUUCAUUCUAAUGUAAUUGACCUAUACGUACACCUUCACGGGAAAAAAAGUGAGCAACCAGGAAUAACGGAUGAUGUCUUAAUAUCUAAUGGGUUAUUUUUGCAAUAACUAUAUAAGGUCGAAUCAAUAAACUGUAUAAACGUCUGUCACCUCAGACGUUGUCUUCUUCUUUCGAUUACUUCCCGCAUUUGUUCAACCGUGUUAUAUUUAGCCCUUCACUGCUGAGUUUGUUUCCUUUUUCUUAAAGACGUUAACACUCAGUAGAGAUUGAGUAUUGUUAUUUUCCACCUGUCUUUACUUAACUUUUCCCCACCCGCCCAGGGAAAUGUGUCUUUAGUUCAUAAUUUAAUAUUCUACUUCUGUUUUUCAGAUUGGAGCUGAAACACGUUAUGCAUUUGCAUUUUUUUCUCCCUCCUUUUUCCUUAUACACUAGACUUUUCCACUGUUCUUAAUCAGGAGAGUUACCUGUCAGAUUGAUGAAUCGCGAAGGAAAUUUACCUGAGUCUCAAUGAGAAUUACCUAGCUUAUUUUCUGUUAAGUGAAGUGAAGUUGCUCAGUCGUGUCCGACUCUUUGAGACCCCAUAGACUGGUAGACUGCAGCCUGCCAGGCUCCUCUGUCCUUGGGAUUUUCCAGGCAAUAGUACUGGAGUGGAUUGCCAUUUCCUUCUCCAGGGGAUCUUCCCAACCCAGGGCUCGCAAUCCAGUCCAUUUAGCGACUUCAAUCUUCCUCCCUCCCUUCCUUCUGGCUGUCUCGAAUCUAGGUUUGAAUUCCUUCCUUCUGUCCCUUUCUCUUGCCUUAAAACACACACACUUUUUUUAACCAUGCUUAGGAUUUAAGAGGAUUUCUGAAUCAGGAAUAAUGUCCUGCAACAAUUAUAGAAAAUUCUCACCCUUUAUCUUUUUAGUGUUGUUUAUUUCUCAUUUUUCUCCAUUAUAUCGUAGAACAUCUAUAGGACAUUGGUAAGAAUUUCUCACUUUAUCCUCCAGUUCCUCUUGGCCUUUUAUAUGGUCCAUCUCAGAUUUUUCAAACACUUUUUAGUUUUAAAAGUUCUGUUUGCUUCUCAUUUCCUGCCAUUUUCUAAUUUCCUAUACAAAUUAAGCAUAGUCUGUACUCUGUUAAAUCCAGUACUGAAAAUGUUAUGGGUCUUUUGUGCUGUCUGCUGUUUCUUCUAACUUUUGCACAUGGUGUCUGCCUCCUUGUGGGUUAUUAUUUGUGACUCUGUGCUGUGUUUCUAGGGUUAUAACUGGAAAUUCUUAUAGGCCAGAGUUAAAACUAAGUUUUCCUAGAGAUUAUUAGAAUUUGCUUCUGUAAAUCUCUUGGAGGCAUCAUCAAUUCUAGUACCAGAUUAAAUUAUCCACUUGAGGUUUAUUGAAUUGCACAGAUUGAAUGAAUUUGGGCCUCAAAUCAAAGUGGCUUGUUACAGAUUCUCACGGGAGACUUUUUCUUCUGGAGUUUCCUGAUCAAGACAGGCAUGAAGCCCCCUGGCCCUCACUUACUUCUCAGUAUGCUCUCAUUUUUCUUGCUGCCUUUCUUUUCAUCCCCUGUGAGAAUUUCUUCAUUUGUUACUAGUACAUCAGUUUAUUUGAUUUUUUAACCCAGCAUUUUUUGUUGUUUUCAGCAGGUGUUUCAUUCACAAUUAGCUGAAAGGACAUGCUGUCAAAAAUUGAAGAAAUAGAAAUAGAAAUCCAUCAUUUCAGUAUAAUUUGAGCUUCUUCAGGGAGUUUUCUGUAUUAAGGAAACAGAGAUAAUAUAUCAUUUGCAAUUCAGGCAAUUUAUAUCCACUACUCCAAAGAAAUAAAAAAAUUAUAGCACUUACACCCUAUGUAUUUUACUUGAUGUAAUUUUUGUGUUUUUUUGUUUGUUUGUUUCUUUUUUAUUGAAGCAUAAGUGCCAUAUAUUACUUUCAAGUGUACACUGUAUGAUUUGAUAUUUGUUUUUUUAAUGUUUUAUUUUCACGCAAUUUUAAAGGUUGCUUUCCGCUUAUAGUUUAUUAUAAAAUAGGGUUUUUUCCAUUUAUAUUCAUUACAAAAUAUUGAUUGUAUUGCUUGUAUUGUAUAAUACAUCCUUGAGCCUAUCUUAUACCAAGAGUAUGUAAUGACGGUUAUUAUUCUUGGACCAUGUAUCAGCUGCAGAAAAUUGUACACAGAUGUCAUAGCUUCUUAUAUCAUUAACUCAUAGAGCAGAUAGUACUUGGAGUAGCUGCCCACUUAACAACCACUACUGCAUUUCUAGGAAGGGCCCCUUCUAUGUAGGGAUAACCAUAUCUGUAUUCCAUUACUGUACAGCUAAUCAGAGCUCAUUAACUUACCAAGGACAGACCAAAGCCAGACCUAUCAGAUGCAUUCUCUUGGGAUUUUAAAUUGGGAAUGAAGAAACUUGAAAACUGAUGUCAGGGUGACAGAAUCGCAUUAAUUUCAGCACAAUAAAUAGGUGGUCCACAAGCUCCUGUUGCGAAGAUACUCCAGAGAAGCUCCGUUUUUUUUUCCUUGCCUUUUUCUCCUUUUCUUUGUCACUUUGAUAACAUGAAUUGUGUGCUAUUGAGAGUUAUUUUAACACUCUGUGCCUCUGUUUCCUAGUCUGUAAACCAGAAAUAGCAAUAGUAACAAAGUUAUAGGAGUGUUCAGUUCAGUUGCUCAGUCGUGUCUGACUCCUUGCGACCCCAUGAUUUGCAGCAUGCCAGGCCUCCCUGUUCACCAACUCCUGGAGUUCACUCAAACUCACGUCCAUCAAGUCGGUGAUGCCAUCCAGCCAUCUCAUCCUCUGUCGUCCCCUUCUCCUCCUGCCCCCAAUCCCUCCCAGCAUCAGAGUCUUUUCCAAUGAGUCAACUC
rnacentral:lncRNA from 1 species